AAGCUAUCUUGGGAAUUCAGCCUAAUGCUAUUUCAACGUGUUUUUGAUGAUCUAAUUUAUGUAAAGAUUUGCAAGUGGAUUUCUGUAAUGGUAGACUCAAUAAUUCCAGACAUAAAUCUGUUUCGGAUGCGAUGUCAUUCCUUCCGGUUUCAUCUCACUCAUUUAUUUUUUUGCCUUUAUUUAUUUAACUAGGCAGGUCAGUUAAGAACAAAUUCUUAUUUACAAUUACGGCCUACAAAAUACCUCCUGUGGGGACGGGGCCUGGGAUUAAAAAUAAAAUACAAAUAUAGGACAUAACAUCACGACAAAAGACAGACAACAGCACAACGGGCAAGAAAGUAGAGACAACAAUACAUCACGCGAAACAGCCACAACUGUCAAUAAGAGUGUCCAAUGAUUGAGUCUUUGAAUGAAGAGAUUGAGAUAAAACUGUCCAGUUUGAGUGUUUCUUGCAGCUCGUUCCAGUCACAAGCUGUAGCAAACUGAAAAGACGAGCGACCCAGGGAUUAUGUGCUUUGGGGACCUUUAACAGAAUGUGACUGGCAGAACGGGUGUAUGUGGAGGAUGAAGGCCGCAGUGGAGAGGGAGUAAGAUCACUAGAAAGGAACAUGGUGCCAGAGCUGGAAUAAAGCUGUUGUUGCACAGCAGAGGUAUUACAGUCAAUGCAUAUGAACUGAAUAUUGUGUGUGAAUUGCACAUUUAUAUCAUUGGCACUAAGAAAAGGGUUGUACAGCAACAUGACCAGUACACACAGCUUUGGUGAUGAAAGGUAUGUCAUGGAGGUGACUAUGUAUAUAUUAGAAGAUUCCCCAAUACAUUGCAUUAUAUGCCCAGAACCUAAUUCACCUGGUACGGGUGAAUAUAAGGUGCGCACCUCUUUGCUGGAGCAGACCGGGACCAGUGUUGAAAUGGAACGAGAAGGCCUUUAUGGGAAUUGGGAGGGUCAACGCUUCACCCUUUCCAAAAGCUAAGUACCUCUCCAUAUUCCAUUUCCAACAUUUCACCUGCUAGCACUGCCUGCUGACAUUCUCUACUGCUUUGUGUGCUACGCACAGCCAGUACAGUAGUGCACCUACUGUGAACCAGAGAGGAGGCCUUUUGGGAUACUGGAAAGGUGAAGCACAAUUCGGGUUGAAUUCAUUAUGGAUUAUAGUGACUUUUCUGCCUGAACACUCAUUGCUCACAUCUAAACUAUUUGAGUUACUAGUGUCCCCCCAAUGACAAUGAAAAACUUUUCUGAGUAGACAUGAUUGGCCUUUAUUGAUAACAUUACUUAAGCCACUGUCUCCUGCCUCCAUUUUUAUUUUCCCAUUCAAGCCUUUUUGAUUUUCCCAUUUAAGUUUGUUUAAAUCUAUUUACUAUUUCCCCAUUACCUUUGAUAUUAUACUCCUUUCCUUAGUUCUAUUGUUGCUUAUUAUGAUUUAGUUUAAUCAUUUUUGGAGAGGUAUUGUGGAGUUUUAUUGUAAUUGGCCCUAUGACGUUUCAGCUAAAUCUGUUGACAGAAUCUUUCUUUCACUCAGUACAACAGAACCCAGGAGAGGCCUGCUGUGAACACUGGCUUGGAUCCCUCAGAGCGUACCUGCAGUGGUGUGACCACGGAAGAGUCCUCAAGGACUUUUAAAAUAGGACUUUUCCAUUUGAUCUUUUUGGACUUGUCCACUUGGGACUUUUAGCUAUUGUUAAAUAAAUAAUGUAGAACACC